ensembl:ncRNA F47D12.10 ncRNA
GACUCAGAAAACUUCUCUUCGUAUUCCUAUUUCCACUCUCUUUGCCGCUCACUCACAUACUUCGUGCGGGGAGAAAAGGACCACAAAAGAAUUAUAAUAGGUGUCUGGAAUGAUGUUUGAGCUCGCCCUGAAUCUAUUCACGUCGUG